rnacentral:lncRNA from 12 species
AGGAAGUCUAAAUUAAGAACAAGUGUCUCUUACAGUGAGGAAACUGCUAAGGUGAAGCGGAGAGCCUGUGAAUGAGGCAGGCAGUCUUCCAUCUUCACUGCACAUUCUCUGACUGUGAGAAGGAUGCUGACUGUUAUGAAGAACCAGAGGAGAAUCGGAAAUGUAUGUCUGGGUAGCCAGAAUGGCUGGCUCAGUGGUUUAGCACUGCCUUCAGCCCAGGGCCUGAUCCUGGAGUCCCGGAAUUGAGUCCUGCACCGGGCUUCCUGCAUGGAGCCUGCUUCUCCCUCUGCCUGUGUCUCUGUCUCUUUCUCUCUCUGUGUGUCUCAUGAAUAAAUAAAUAAACCUAAAAAAAAAAAGAAAAAGA